UACGGAGGGUGCAAGCGUUAUCCGGAAUCACUGGGCGUAAAGCGCACGUAGGCGGAUUGCUAAGUCAGGGGUGAAAUCCUGGAGCUCAACUCCAGAACUGCCUUUGAUACUGGCGAUCUUGAGUCCGGGAGAGGUGAGUGGAACUGCGAGUGUAGAGGUGAAAUUCGUAGAUAUUCGGAAGAACACCAGUGGCGAAGGCGGCUCACUGGUCCGGUACUGACGCUGAUGUGCGAAAGCGUGGGGAGCAAACAGG
rnacentral:rRNA from 1 species